GUGUUGACCGGAGCCACCAGGGUCCCUUGUUGACCAGGCAUUCCAUCAAAAACCGGACUCCUGGCAACCCUAGCUAGUACCAGUCCCCUAGCACUAGCUUCCCUGUUCUGGAUAUCAGUCUCAAAGAGCCAGGAUUUCUCUCUCUCUCUCUCUCUCUCUCUCUGACACUCACACACACCCCACCUGCCCCCAUCUGCUAAUGAAUCUGGUCUCCUGAUUGGUUGAAGACUCCAGCAGGCACUUUCUUAACACCUGUAGUAGGGCUGGAUCUCUGGCUGCUCUGUACAGUUGCAUGCUUGCAGCUGUGUGUCUGGUCUUGAGCUUGCCUACUCCUUGCCCUUUGUAGUUAGUCCCUGUCCCUGUUCCUGUCCUGGCUGCUACUCUGGUUCUGACUCUUGCCCCCUGCUUCCUGGCUCUGGCUUGUUCCCUGGACUUGGUAAUUUGGCUCCUCAUUUGGGUUCUGGUCACUAGGCCUGGUCUCCCCUGUUCAGCCAUUAGGCCAGCCUACCGUCCUGACCAUUAGUCUGCAUCCAGCCUUCCUGAACCUACAGAAAGUGAUGAAUGAGGUCUGGAGCAGAGGAUGAUGGUGUCAUGAAAGUGGCUUCCUACCACAUCAUGGGCAACCAAGGUGUAGAAUUCCUCAUGUCAGGAACACUCAUGCAAGAUGGUGAACCUGAGACACAGACAGAUGAGGUGGCAGGCUUCUGAGAUCACCCACUGAGUCAGUGACAUUGCUGGGAAUAGAGCCCAUGGGUGAAAUCCUGGCAAAACUCCUAUUGACUUCAGAUUUCUUGACUGCUAGUCCUGUGUUUUAUCCACAAGAUCAAUGUUAUGUUUAGCUUUUCCACCACUGUUGGAAAUAUUGCCAGUGAAAGGUAUCGGAUUGACAGCCAUGGAGACUCAAAAAAGGUAGAAAUGAUAAAUGAAAAAACAUUAAAAUGUGACUGUCUCAAACACAUCUUGAAUAAUAGGAUUAUAGUCUUCAUUCCACUGAGCCCCUUUUGAAAAUAUACAAAACGAAAUAUGGUCAUCUGCAGAUUUUAGAAGUUGUAUCUGGGCACUGAUGCCAUACCUAGGAGUCCAGGAGCAAUGAUGAGCCACGUAAAAACAUGAGGUUGAGAGACACUUCGGCUGAAAGCUAUUGUUGACUUGACUGUCUACUUUAUUGUGCUUCUCAUUGUCAAUUAGGAUUGUCUCUCUUAUUCAAACUUGGCUUCCGCCAUCUGGUUUCCAUCCAGAUUUCAAACUCUGCCAGACACUGGUGAUGGCUACCGUCUAGGACUGAAGAAAAGGUGCUAGGUAUCACUAGCAUUCUGAUGUUGUAGCCUAUGUUCUGCAUUGACUUUACAGAGAUGUAAGGAAAGAAAGAGAGAGGCCACCAGGGGCUUAAGCAGUUGCCCACCCCCUUCCUCUGAGAUGUCAGACAAUUCCAUCCACCCCUGUGGAGAUGGAAUUUGCAUCCACUCUUGUCAACAGCAGCUCAUGAUCAAAUAUUUUUUUGAAAGAUCUGUGGUAGCAAUUGCCAUAAAGGGGACUGGGUUUCACUCUCACUUCCCUCAGGAAAUCAUCAGUCACUGUGAUGAAUGGGUGUUUUUGUGCCAAGAAACCUGACUGGUUGGGUUCCAAGACUUUGAAGCUAUAAGAUGAUGCCAUGGUUGGCCUGCUGGUACCAUCUCAAUCUUUCUCAGAAAGGGAUGGCUAUUGGUUCAAUGACAUUUGGCAAGGACAUUAGGGUCCAGAGUUCAUUUCUUGGACAGGGUCCAGGCCAGAUUGUGUGAAGGUUGCCUAUCAAAAUGUUUACAAAGUGCUUUGGGAUAGCAAAUGACUUGUAAAUGUAAAGCCUUCAACCAACUUUGGUUGUACCAUAAAUUAUGAGAUGGAUGGCAGCAGGCUUCAGAUGUAUCUUGGAAAACAUUGACCCUGGAAAUAACUAUUUUACAUGAUUUUGGAUAUUGGAGUGAAUUAUUCAGUCUUCCCUGGGAAUGAUUGGUCACGGCACUAUUAGACGAAACACAACAGACUCACCAUCAUACUAAAGAAUGAUGCUCACAGGUGAGAGACUGCAGCUAAUAGGUGGGAUCACCUAUUCUACAAACAAUGGGAAAAAUCCACCUUCUGUACUCUGAGUUUCUCACCUUUAUAUUACUAGAUGCAUAGGAAGUGCUGUGUAAUGGUCAGAGUAGUGGACUGGGAGUCAAGACUCCUGAGUUCUCUUCCUGACUGGCUCCUGAUUCUCUGUUUUCCUUUGGGUAAGGCACUUCAGGGGUUAAAAGGUUUUUGCUGCUACAAAGUGGACCACCUUCCCAUUCUUAAGUCUUGGACCCAAAGCUGCAUGGAGAUGGAAUUUGCACCACAAUGUUCCUCAGUUUCCUGGUCCAUAAAAUGUGGAUAAUAAGAGGAUUAAUGAACUCAUUGAUGCUUACAGAGCACUUUUCAUUCUAGGAUCUCAAAAUAUUGUAGAUGUAAAGUGUUUGUGUGUGUGUGACAUGAGGAUAGCUUUCUAACAGCAUUUGUCUUUCACUAUUAAAAUUCCAUUCACUCCAGUCUCUCCUUCCUGAGUAUUUUUAUUUUCUUUAUUCCUUACCUUUUCUCAUUUUGCCCCUCAUUUUUUGCCUCCUUUCUAUCUUUGUUUGCUUUCUCCUCUUGAGGUCAUAGAUCUAACACCUUAGUACUAGCUAUUCCUUAUGUUAGCUGUGGGAUAGUUCUAUAUAGAUUUUUCUGUGUUUUGCUACUGACUUAAUUAGGAAUGUGAUGUGGCAUGCAAUAUGGUAUUCUUUCAUUUCUGAUCCACUAUGAUAUAAAUAAUAAUCAAUGUCACUAUUCAUAUCACCUAUCAAUAGAACAGAUCCUUCAUUUCUCUUCAGGGUGAUUUUGCAAUGGAUGUCAGUUUAGGAGAAUGACCCAGAUAACAUAAAGGAAACAUUAAUGGAAUAACAGUCUCCAAAGCCUUUGAAGGUUUAACCGGGCUUACUGACUGUAAUCGAUGCGCAUUAGCUACAAUUGUUACAUAUCUCAGUGGGUUUCUCUGAACUUGUGCAAAAAUAGCUUUAACAAGCCUCAUGUAAUAAACCUUCAUUGAUUUCCAUCAAUAAAAAUGACCAAGCCAGGAGUGGGCCUACAGUUAGUGUUCUACAUUGCU